CAAUCUGCUCCUAGAGAAACUUGCUACGAUGCAGAAGUGAGGUUAUAUGGAAAUGAAGUGUGUCCUACCUUUCAGAAACUUGGGAGAGUAGGAGAGACCAUUUUUGAAAAUCUGGUGAGAAAUACUCUUACAGAGAAAAACACAGCCCAAAGCACAUGGGACCUUCAAUCUGAAAUUGAAUUGUACUGUUAAGCAUGUCUGGUGAUUCAAAAGACUGGCAUACCUUAUUUCCAGUCACUUCCUCGAGGCCUGGGCUUUGUCAAUAUGUGAAGAUGAAUUUUGGAGAAUCAUGUAAACACAAUUGAACAGAUCUGGGGGAUCCAGUCUGAUGGGUUUGCUGAGGCCAAUCCAGUCAGCCACGCAGAAGUGUGCUGGACACACAGGCCCCACCACCCCCCGCCAAAGAGGCAGCCUCCCAACAAGCUGCCAAUGACAUAAGCAAAGCAGCGUGUCUCAAGUGUCUCCAAUCAUAAGAUUCGCCUGGGAAGCUGGUUAAACUAACACAGCCUCUUAGGCUCCUUCCUGAAGACUGGAUUCCAUGGGUCUAUGAUGGGGCUAGAAAUUUGCAUUUCUAACAAAACUCCCUUGUCAUCAUGGACGUUUUAGAGAUAUUGAUACUAUUAUUUCUACUGAUUUCUGCUCUCGGGAGUCUGUAAACUUUUUCUGCAAAUGGCCAACUGGUUAACUUUUAAGGCUUUGUAGAACCGAUAGUCUCUCUCUGUCUCUCACUACUCAUCAACUUGAUGUGGUAGCACAAAAGCAGUCAGUCAGCCUAUUGCUAAUGGUAAAUGAGAUUUAGCCUAAAGCUGCCUCCUUAAGUUCGGCCUGAAGUUUUCUCUGUACAUUGUGAACUAUAACAAAUGAAGGUGUAACAAGACCAAUCACCGAGUUUCGGUCAAUCAAAUGUAGCCAACUGCUCAAACUGUGUUCAAAUAAGGCAAACGCUGAGCUGUAACCAAUCCAGCUGUUUCUGUACCUCACUUCCGUUUUCUGUAUGCCACUUCCCUUUUUCUGUCCAUAAAUCUUCCACCACGUGGCCCUGCCAGAGUCUCUGAGCCUACUCUGGCUUGGAAGACUGCCCAAUUCACGAAUCGUUCAUUUGCUCAAUUAAACUCCUUUAAAUUUA
rnacentral:lncRNA from 10 species